AUGGCUGGAGAACACUGCAUGGAGUCUCCUGAAUCACCCUUCUUUGUUCCCUCUAAACCCUUUUACAUUCCUGAUGGCCUCAUCGUUAAGAGCCUAAUGUUAUCCUCAACCACCGGGCUUUCCGACCCCCAUGGCCACACUCCCACCUCUCCCCCUUCUUUAUUAAUAUCAACCCUCUUCCCAACACGAGCCCUGGAAAGCCGGGGCGCUGCGUCCCCUCCCUGCGCCCUGAUGGGCACCCGUGCCGUGCCCUCAGGGCUUGGCGGGCAGCACCCUGGGGGAUGCUCAUCCCCUGAUGUGCCGGGAGGGGCAGGCACGGCCAGGACUACGUUUCCCAGCGGCAAUUUCCAGGGGCUGCACAUGCUCCUUGCGGCUGCACGGCUGCUCCCAGCAGCUCCCGGUGCGGCUCCCGGUGCGGCUCCCGGUGCGGCUCCCGGUGCAGCCCCAUCGCGGGCGCACGGGGCUCCGUGGGGAGCGCACAUCCGACCCCCGGGGGCGAGCCCUGCCUGGCACCCACCCUCCUGCCCCCCACCCCAGCCACCCCAGCCACCCCGCAGCAUGCCCCGCGGGCGAGCCUGGACACCGGCGGAGGUCAGCAGCCUCCUGGCGCUGGUGGAAGGCUCCGGGGAGGCCGCCCUGCUGAUGGCCUCCACGUCGUGGCCCAACGAGGCGCUGUGGCAGGAGAUCUCCCGGGGGCUGGCGGCGGCCGGCUACGGCCGUAGCGUGGCCCAGUGCCGCUCCAAGUGGAAGGCACUGAAGCAGGCUUUCCACUCGGAGCGGGAGACGCGCCGCCGUGCCGGGCGGCACUCGUCACGCUUGCCCCCGCACUACCGCACCAUGAAGAGCAUCUGGAAGGCGGCCGGGCGGCCCGUUUUUGGGGAGAGGCGGCUGCCCGAGCUGGUCAAGCCGCCCCCCAGGAAGCGCAGGUCGCUGGCCGCACGCUCGCCGGCACCGCCAGCUGCUGCAGAGGCCCCCGCCGUGCUGCUGGCACCGCUGCUGCAGUGCCCAAAGGACAAGCCGGAGAGCUUUUCAAGUGGAUGUGGGAUUCUCCUUCACUUCCA
rnacentral:lncRNA from 1 species